AUGCUAAUCCAGUUGCCCAAACUCAGCUACAAAGCAGGGAUCAUGGAGGCUGAGAGAGCCAGCUGCACGGCACCGAGGGUGGAGGACCAGGGAGCUCCUGUACCAAGCUUGUGCAUAGCAACCCCCAGAAUCUGUGGGAGGGAAGACAGCCCUGUGAUUACAGCUGCAGUAGGAAAUCCCUGCAAACGGAUUCUCCUGAUCAGCAGCAAUGACGAAUAUUAUCUCUCAGCAACCACGAAAGUUGUUCACCAUUGAAAAAAAUGAUUAACAACAAUAUAUGGUUCAAAUGUGGCGUAAGGGAAAUAGUGAUUUAAAGCCGACUCGUAAGUGGGAAUCGAAGUCAGCAGCAGGAUUGCAGAUUUCCCUGCUUGCAACCAAGCCGGAAAGAAAAAACUCCCACGUUCAUGAUGGCUUUGAGAAAAGAACAUAAAUCCACUGCCUGGUAAACUCUCAGGUAAGGGAUUGGUCAGCAGAUGCAGAAGCUUUUUUCGCCGGGUCAAUUCCACCGGAGGCAAGACCGUGACCGCAAACGAGAAAGGAUACGCUUGUGAAAGAUGCUUGUUGGCCAAGCCGGUCAUAAUUCAUGCUCCAGCGACACUAUGCCUGGAGGAAGGGGAAUGAAACAUUUAUGAAAAUGGCUCUUUCCCAGCCGCACAUCAUGUUCGUCAAAGGGAAGAAGGCAAAAAAAGCAGGAAUAAUUUCCCGAGAAACACCAGGCUGGUAGUGAUUUGUUUCUUUGUAUCUUUAGGACUAGAUUGCAUGUCUGAGGUUUUGGACAUGAACCCACUGAGUGCUUCAUAUCCUUGAUUUCAUUGUUUCACUGCAUCUCAAAACAUCCUCCUGAACUACCCAGGAGUGAACUUGAUCUGCAGAGAGUUGAGGUGUAGCCUGAAGCAUCCCCAACCGGAGCGAGACAUUUUCUUGCCAUGUCACUUUUAACCCUAAAAAAGAAAAAAAAAAAAGAAAAAAAAAAGAAAAAAAAAAGAAAAAAAAAAAGCAUGCACAGUUUGCAUUCUAUCCCAUGAUAUCCCCACACUUGUAGCAGUAACAAUCACCUUACUCUCCCAUUGGAAGCCCAAAAUUGAAGACACUCUCCCAGGGUGACACUAAGGCAAUUUAACAUUCUGUCAUUCUUCCUGCCACUCAUUAGGCAUUGUGAGGCCUUCUCUGAGACUCAUGGUAAUUUGAUCCAAGGAGAAGGGCACAGUAGUUCACAACAAAGAGUAGAAUCCAACUUUGGUCAGAAAAUAACGAG
rnacentral:lncRNA from 1 species